rnacentral:misc_RNA from 1 species
UUUCCGUAGGUGAACCUGCGGAAGGAUCAUUCAUAAUAAAGUGUUUUAUGGCACUUUUUAAAAAUCAAUAUCCACCUUGUGUGCAAUGUUAGAUCUCGUCAAUCUUGGCGAGAUUUUUAUACAUCAACUCAUCCUUUAACUAAUUUGUCUGAAAAAUAUUAUGAAUACUUAAUUCAAAAUACAACUUUCAACAACGGAUCUCUUGGCUCUC